rnacentral:tRNA from 1 species
UGUUCUUUUAGUAUCACUCAGUACAGCUGACUUCCAAUCAGUAAGACUUGGUAGACCCCAAGAAAGAACA